rnacentral:rRNA from 1 species
AAUGCCUGCCCAGUGAAGACCACUUUCAACGGCCGCGUUAGCGUGAGCGUGCUAAGGUAGCGUAAUAAACAGCCCCCUAAUUAGGGGCCAGUGAAAGGCAACACGAAGAUUAACUAUACCCGUUGUGAAAAAAAAAUUUUUCAUUUAUGUUAAAAGACAUAAAUAAAAAGGGAAGACGAAAAGACCCCGCGGAGCUUAACUAUAAAAGGUUAUCUACAUAAGGCAAUCCUCUAAAAGUUUGGUUGGGGCAACCCUGGAACACCUAAACUUCCAGCACCUUAAAAUAAAUAUCCAAAAUUUGUUAAAGUAAAGAAAGAAGCUACCCCGGGGAUAACAGCGUUAUCUAACUAGAGAGUACACAUCGAAAGUUAGGUUUGCGACCUCGAUGUUGGCUUAGGGUAAUCCAU